CUUCCCUCUUGUUCUGUCUGGUAAGACACAUACAGUACACAGUUACACACAGUUACAUAAGACUGGCAAGGAGCAGAUGCCAAAUAUAUCAACUUGGUCACAAGCACUCACAUCAAACAGAGUAUGACAGGGUGGAAAACCAGAGUCUGCAAGAUCAAUUCCUGUUGUAACCUCCAGCAAAGAUGCUUAACCUGAAUAGCUUCAGUGAAUAUCUGGCCAUUUAAAUGUUUAAACAGUGUGUACAAAUGAAACCUGUAAGCAAGUGACUGGAUAAGAGAGCAAAUAAGUGAUAAAUAUUAUUAUUAGCAAAUAAUUGUAUUAGCAUCUAUGUUCAAAUUGGCAUUGUUAGCCAAGGCUUCUGUUUGGAUUUUUGAUGAGGAGAGGGUCAUUGCUGCUUCUUGGUCAGUUUAUUUGAUUAAUCUAUAAGGGUUCUUAAGUUUUUAUCUUUUUAUGUGCUCACUCUAGCACUUGGAACUAUACUUCCCAAGGGUUUUCAGUCCACUUAUCCCUAGUUAUAGUUUUGCACUUUAUUGUACAUCAUUCUGGAUAAGAGCAUCUGCCAAAUGACUAAUGUAAUGGGAGGGGUAGAGGCGCUAUUUGAGAUUUUGGGUCUGGUCUGAACCGGUCCAGGCCACCUCACACGGACCGGUGCGAGCACGAAUGUCCCAUCUGGCACUUUGACGUGAGUGCACCAGCCCGUGCCCCUUCAGCCCGUCUCCUCCAGCUGGCCCGGCCCAAAGGGGCCCACCCCGACUUCACAGGCAACCGCGAGUACGUGGAGUCGGUCGUCUCUGACCCUGCUAAGUCAGCUCACUCCUCCCCCAGGGUUAACCAGCUCUCCAUGCCCAAGUUGAGGAAGGAGAGUCACUUGUUCUUUUCUUGGAGACCCCCAGAGGAACCCAUUCGCCCUGUUUCCCGAUAUGCCAAAAGGGCUGUGGCGUCUCCUCGGGUUAGGAGCCUGGCAGUACCCAAAGACGUCGUUAAAGAUUACCUCCCACAUCGAGAUCCAGUGUGGUCUCCUCCUGGAGGCUCAGGGAGAAGAGACAUGUCAGCUUAGCCUGUAGCUCUUAGCACAUAGCACAAUAGCAAAGUGCAAGGACUACAUCUUACUGUGGAAAGCCCCCCUCCCAAGAAGAGUAAUUUGGUUUUUAUUUUGCAUGAUUUUGGGAAGUGUUCUCUGGUCCUGGAGAGCUACAGGGUCUGCUGGUUUUUGUUGUCACUCAACACUUAAUUGAUCAGUUAAGGCGAUUACCUGGCUAAUGCACCUCACCUGGACUGUUGGUUCUGAACUGGAUGUGGAAUUUAAGGUGAGGAACCAGCAACCCAUUCAGGUUCAGUACGAAGUACUACUGUGUUCUCCUGGACCGGUACUGAGUACAACAGUGUUCUCUUUGACCCAUACUGAGUACCACUGUGUUGUCCUGGACCAGUACUAAGCAUCACUGUUUGUUCUCCUGGACUGGCACUGAGUACCACUGUGUUCUCCUAAAUCUGUACUGAGUACCACUGUGUGUUCUCCAGGACUGGUACUAAGUACAACUUUUUUCACCACAUACUGAACCUUACCUCCGAAGUCACCAUGGGCCAGAUGUACUAAGCCUUUUGCAAGGAUUUUCAGGUGCAAAUAUGAUGCAUUCUGCCCAGGAAACAUGCAUGAUAUGUAUGAAACUGGCGCACAGGCCUGGAACCACAGAAUGUGUGUGAUCUAUCGCACUUCUCUCCUUAUUGCAUAAGCAUUUAAGAGUGGAUCGUGCAGAUAAGGGGCGGAGAUAUUAUAAGUGUGGCUGAUUGUGUAUUUAGUUGAAGUUCACGCACUUAACAAGGGCGCGUGAAAUUUAUCUGCCUCUAAAGAGCAGGUGUAAACCGAGGCACAAGCGAGACAGAGACACAGGCUCCAAAUCUUCAAAUUACUUAAAACUGAAAUAAUCUUAGAAACAAAAAUCAACUCCAAUAAAUAAACAGAUUAUUAAUAUUAAAUAUGAAUGAAUGAUUGCAGCCAUGAUUGGGUGUUUGUCACAGAAAAUAUAUUGAAAAUAAUAUAGCUAAUUAACCAAAUGCGAAGCAGUGGGAAAUUACUAAAAUUACAUGCUCAUCCAUAGUGACAGUAACAAGUGUUUGAAGAAAAAUCUAAAAAUCAUUGCCACUAGUAAAAAAAUAUGAGUAGGUUGAAUGAAUUGACAUGCUGCUUUUAAUCACUUCUGUCCAUCGUGGAAAGACUUGCUUUUUGCCUUCAACAGAGCAUUGUUAGAAACAGAGCUCUUAUGUACCUUCAUACUUAUGGAUAGUACUGUAUUGUAAUGGUCUAGUGAUUGUGAUUUUGUUA